CUAAGACCAAACCAUGUAAUGCAAAUCAUGUCACAAAGAAGAUGGAUGACAUCAGAAAAAGGUCACUGCCAUAAAUUUGCCAGCAUAAAUACCCACACAUAGAGAAGUGACGACAUAUACUUCCAAACGAUAAGGUAUGACAAAUCAGCAGGUAGAAGCUGAAAGGUUAGCCAAUCUUUGAUUCUAACUACUAAGAUACAAAACAGGACAAAUGUCGCUCUAGACACUGCAUUAUCUUAAUAAAUUAACAAGAAAUAUUGUGGGUUUGCUAUAUAACACAGUAAAAUAAAUGAAUAGAAAACACAGGAUGUUCCUUUUUUCAUUUAUCCUUCUGAAAUUUCUCCACAUAAGCCUGUACAAGUUUGGUCAGCUUUGGCUUUGAAAAUGAAAGAUAUUGUUGAAUUCUUUCUUGUGUUUGAGGAAUAGUUCCCCCCUGCAUUGAACCGGUAACUUUGUCAACUACUUUCUUUACAACGUUUUUGUAAGCAUCCUUGGUCAUUUGACCUUCCUUCCAUUUGGGCUUCAGAAGCUCCUUAACGAACUCCACAAGUGCAAACUUAAAUGCACGAAUCCCCUUGACAUCCUUGCUUUGUUUGCCCUCAUCAGUCUUUCCAUCUCCAUCAAUGUUCUCCAAGACAUCAUUUUCUUGUGCAGUCUUGUCCUCCUCUACUUUCCUGCUUUCCUCAGUUACCACCCCAUUGUUUUCCUUGGUAACUAUGGAGUUUGCACCUGGUUCCAUCUCAUUUACCUGGUAACUCUUGCCAUCAGGUUCUUGCAAACUGUGGAACUUAUUAUAAUCACCAGCCUUUGGUGCACCAGCAACAGAUGGAGACAAACUUUUGGAUGACAUUUCUGGUUUCCCAUCCACAACCUUUUUCUCUAUAACAAAGUUUUGUGAAAAACCUGGUGGAUUAUAAUUGACAACAUUCUUCUCAGCAUCAAGGCUGUCACAUAUAGGAUCAUACUGCUUCCUCAGCCCUACAUUUUGAUUUGAUUCUGUAGUCACUGCAGAAUCUGGUUUAACAAGCUCCUCAGUGUUCACAAUGGAAGAUGUUUCUGUGUAAUUAUGGGCAUUGGAAUUAUGAACAGCAAAAAGAUGGGGCAGCUGCUUUCCAUUUGCAAGUAAGUGAGCUAGAGAGGCCGAGAUGUUGGUAAGCUGAGUAAGCUGUUCGCUGUUGCUUACCAGUUUCUGAGUCAUAGAAACUCCAGAAUUCAUUUGCGAUGCAUUUGCAUCCCCAUCAUUAUCUGGCUUGUUGAUUGUCUUUCCCUCCUGAAGCAGCAUCUGAUCUUGAGGAUUCACAUUACCUCCUCCUGAAGUUGGGAUUGUUACUUGACCUUGUCCAAUAACAUUUAAGCCUGAAAGAUGUAAAGCAUUUGAAUUCAUGCCAUUCUGAUCUAAGCUUUGCGCAGAUAUAAUAUUGGCAGAAAUACUACUAUGAGAACUGGCAGUUUUUCCAGUCACACUGUUAUCAUCGUGAGGCACAGCAUUUGCACCAACAUCCUUUAACUUGUAGUCCUGAGGUUUGGCAGAUGAUUCAUUUGUCAAUGAUGGCACAACUGCAGUGACAUCAUGUGCAUGAUCUGAAACUUCUCGAGUUAUACUGGGAUUGCAACUGGUUAAAGAAGCAAGCUUAUCAAAAUGGUUAGAAUGUCGAAAUUUAUAAUUCCACUCAGGAGACAUGUCCAUAUCUCCAAGCCAAUUCUCACCACCUGGCCUUUGUUCAGAAGCAACCAUGUUGUCACUAGCAUUUUCUGUAUUCCAUGUAAGAUCUGUUUCACUCUUGACCAUUUUAUGAUCAAUUGGUGCAUUGCCAAGUGUCUUAUCUUCCUCCAAACAAUGACCCCAUUUGUCACCAACAGCACGUGCAGUGCCCCUUUGAUCAGGGGUACCAAUUGUCACAUUUUUAUCCCCACUCAACUUUCCAGCAUCUAAAGCACUUGUAGCGCCCCAUUUUGGACCAUUCCACAAUUUCGCCACAUCAUCAGUGUUUUGGUCAAGUGAACGCCUACCAUCCCGUGACCUAUCAGGACUUACAUGGGCCAAAUCCUGAUGUGAAAACCUGCAAUAUUUUCCAUUCCGACAAUUACCCGCAGCAAAAAAUUUGCAAGGAACAUCAGAUGCUCUGUAGGUUUCACGGUCACUGCGUUUCUCCGGAGAUGCAUCUCUAUGCCUUCUGUCACUAUUUUUGUCCCUAGUUACAUCAUUAGAAGACUCCUUAACAGUCACAUUUGAGGUAACAUGAUGGGAAAACCUGCAGGAUGCACCCCUCCUACAGUUGCCUUUAAGAAAAUCAUUACAACAAUCAACAGAUCUUCCACUCACUGAGGGGUAGUCCCUGGAAUCAUGGGGAGUGGGAUAUUUUGAAGUUACAGUUCUCCUGUGUCUUUCCCAGCCAUCCACAUAACUCUGAUUACCUUGGUGAAGAAAUUGACAGUGACUACCUCUCCUGCAUCUCCCAACAGCAAAAUCUUUACAUAAUUGAGCUGAUACACCUGAUCUGCUUCUACUUCUCUCGUACAAUCCUGAUUCUCGCCCAAAGCCACGGACUGGACUUCUACUCCUGCUCCGGCUCUCGCUCCGGCUCCUACUUCUUCUUGAUCUUUUCCAUUCACUUUUAGGAGAGUUGCGUCGGUUUUGCUGCCUCCAUUCAUCAAGACCAGGAGACAUUCUUGUCCCAUAACUCUCAUCUCCAUCCCAUGUGGCCAUUGCUUUUAAACUUCUGUUACGCUCCUCAUCAAUGCUAUCAUCCCUAUGUGAGCCUCUUCUUCCAGACAAAGGUUCCAGAACAGGCCAUUUGGCGCGAGUACUACUUGCUCCUUCAGGAGACAGCCAGUCAUGCUGUGAUUCUUUGUCAUGAAAAGAUAAGCCUGCUUUCCCAGACCAUGCAUUUUCAUUUACAUUAUCAAAUGGGAUACGGGAUUCUUCUUUCAAAUCCCACUUAGAACUGCGUCUUCUGCCACUUCCACUCAUUUUACCAAAUGCAGCACUGCCUUCUCUCAGUCAAAAGGAGUACAAGCCACUUCAUUCUCUCCCAUGAAGAUGGUCUCCAUUUCAAAGGAUUCAGAUGAAGCACGAGGAACCUUUUAACGAAUUCAACUGUAAUGUGUAAAUUAUGUACAAGGAAAGUUGCCCAUCAAAUCUAAACACAGAACUAAGGAAGUCCCAGCCCUUUGAAUUUGGCGCAAAAAUCCCCAGAAGCAAAUAUAUUUAGCUGUGAUGUUAAAGAAAGCCCAUAUGAGGAAUUUCACUGAGAAGAAUAAAAUGAAAGCAUCACUGCUGAAGAAAAA
rnacentral:misc_RNA from 1 species